rnacentral:lncRNA from 1 species
UAAAGAGCAGCUAACUUCAGUUAGCCGUAUUUAUAAUAUUUAUAAGAAAACUAAGAAUUAUGCAAAAUGCACACGGAAGAGACAUAUAUUCAAGCUAGUGAACAAUAAAAACUAAACAAUCAGCUGUACUAUAUAUUAUAUGUGUAUAAUUAGGUAAACAUACAAUUUAAAUGAACAAGGAAAACAAAAAAAAUGCAAAUAGGUUAUUCGGAUCGGAUUUCUGUUGGCUUCGUUGGGGGGCUCGCAUAGUUUGUUACGUCAGCUCCAAAAGGAUAAGUUGCGUUGGAAUCGAAAAGGUUCCGCGGAGUUCAUAAUUGCAUAAAAGGAGUCAAAGUAGUGGCUGCGGCGCGUUGAGGCACCUCUUCGACGGUCCUCGUACGCCCGGCCUGACGGCCCGCUCUGCAGAAUUCAUGGAUCGGUGGCGAGACAGAAUAGGCGGGCACUACUAACCAAGCCAAGCCCAGUUCUCGCCGAGAGGCGGGGGGGNACUACUAACCAAGCCAAGCCCAGUUCUCGCCGAGAGGCGGGGGGAGGAACAAACCACAAAUAGUAAAAUGCAAAAAAGCUUAAAUGAUAAAGAUAAACUUUCAUGAUCUUAC